CACACCGCCCGUCACACCAUGGGAGUCGAUCUGGCCGUAAGACGGCGCGCCAACCGCAAGGAGGCAGCCGUUCAUGGCCGGGUUGGUGACUGGGGUG
rnacentral:rRNA from 1 species